AUUUUUAGGGCACAAGAACGUGGUGUUUGUGGACCCAUGUCAGACCUUUCUCCUGUAAAGCAAACAUGAUGUGUAGGACAGAAGUGUCUGUGCUGCAAGGAGCAGGAAUGUUGAUCGCACCAGAGGUCACCGGGAGCUCCAUUGGGAAGCAAAGCAGAGCAGUCACUCCUGAUGGAGUGCCUCAGAACAUUGUAAUUAGUGAUGUCUGAGGAAAGGCAGCACUUAAUGGAAGGAAAACUUGAAAGAAGACUAUAGCUAACAGAUCAUACUAAACAGCACGCAGAAUUAGCUAAAAGUAAUGGGAAACCAUAGUCAUGUCUCGGUGUGACCUUCAGAAUCUGUGUGCCACAUUUUAGCAGGUCUGCAGGCACCUCAUAAAAUUAAAGCCCCUUGAAUAGGAUUUUGAGCAUCAACUGUUUGUAUGGAGAGAACAUAGUGAGCCAUUUUCCCAUCUUGUAACCUCUUAAGCUUGAGUACACCUGCUUGUCCAGCUGAGCUGUGUUACAUGUGUCCCAGUCAUAUGUGAUGCAAUUUUUGCUGCUAGGACUUCUUUCUAACCACAGUAACCUUAACUUGAACCUACUCUCUCUUCUGGCAAUAGGAAAUUUUCUUCUUGACAUCUAGUAUCUAGCUGAAGAAAUGAAGAAUAAUGUCAGCAUUGUGCAGCUUUCAACUCUAUUGGCUUCAAAGGGAUAUGUUCUGCUUUCAGGUGAGAAUGGCUCCAGCCUGUGACUUGCUCUGGGACAACAGUUGCCAAAGGCUUCCAGUGGUGAGCUCUUACUCCGUGAUCAUAUUUUUCCAUGACUUGGACCAUUGAGAGAGAGAAUCUUUCAGUGUGAGGUGCUUGCUGACUGUCUGGGGAAGUGGGAGCAGAGCUUGUUUCUAUGCACAGAGCCAGAAAAGCUCCACCAUCGUUAAGAGUGAAGCUGAGAGUCAAAACGUUCAGCCCUACUAAAACUCUGGUGCCUUUUCCUUCGAGGAGGCCUUGUGCCCUGACUCUCUGUGUCAGGAAAUUGAAAUUUGUUGGGGGUUAAUCAUUGGGUCAGAGGUGUGCUGUUUAAUUUCCUCCUGAAAGUUAAAUUAUCUGAUCCCUUUUGGGGAUUUCUUUGAUCAGUGAGGCUUGUGAUGUGCCAACCAGGUAACAAAGCUUUUGUUAGCCCCCGUCCAUCCCUUCUCCCAAACACACCACACAACCCAGGAGGCAAUGAGUGGACGAUCAUCUUUGACUCCUGAGUUUUUCUCUGGAGCAAACCUGUAUAAUUCCCA
rnacentral:lncRNA from 1 species